UCCGGCUUAUCACCGGCAGUCCCUCUAGAGUGCCCAACUGAAUGAUGGCAACUAGAAGCGAGGGUUGCGCUCGUUGCGGGACUUAACCCAACAUCUCACGACACGAGCUGACAACGGCCAUGCAGCACCUGUGUUCAGGUUCUCUUUCGAGCACGAAACCAUCUCUGGCAACUUCCUGACAUGUCAAGGGUAGGUAAGGUUUUUCGCGUUGCAUCGAAUUAAACCACAUCAUCCACCGCUUGUGCGGGUCCCCGUCAAUUCCUUUGAGUUUUAGCCUUGCGGCCGUAGUCCCCAGGCGGGGUGCUUAGUGCGUUAGCGACGGCACCGGAGGGGUCGAUACCCCCGACACCUAGCACCCAUCGUUUACAGCGUGGACUAC
rnacentral:misc_RNA from 1 species